rnacentral:rRNA from 1 species
AGUGAACGCUGGCGGUAGGCCUAACACAUGCAAGUCGAACGGCAGCACAGUAAGAGCUUGCUCUUACGGGUGGCGAGUGGCGGACGGGUGAGGAAUACAUCGGAAUCUACUUUUUCGUGGGGGAUAACGUAGGGAAACUUACGCUAAUACCGCAUACGACCUACGGGUGAAAGCAGGGGAUCUUCGGACCUUUCGCGAUUGAAUGAGCCGAUGUCGGAUUGGCUAGUUGGCGGGGUAAAGGCCCACCAAGGCGACGAUCCGUAGCUGGUCUGAGAGGAUAAUCAGCCACACUGGAACUGAGACAGGGUCCAGACUCCUACGGGAGGCAGCAGUGGGGAAUAUUGGACAAUGGGCGGAAGCCUGAUCCAGCCAUACCGCGUGUGUGAAGAAGGCCUUCGGGUUGUAAAGCCCUUUUGUUGGGAAAGAAAAGCAGCAGGUUAAUACCCCGCUGUUCUGACGGUACCCAAAGAAGAAGCACCGGCUAACUUCGUG